rnacentral:misc_RNA from 1 species
GGUCUUGAGUUUGAGAUCCCAGCCAAAACCUAUUGUACCAAAAAAAGGCUAGUAGUUGACUAGUUUAAAUUGGGAGGGAAUAAGGCUUUCUGAUGGCCUUUGUAGUGUUAAGUAGAAAAUUUGUUGUUUUGUUGGUGUCAUUGUUAAUCAAAUUUUAAUAUUCUUCAGUUGAUAGCCAGACUAAUGAUAUAGUGGGUAUGAUUUUGUGCAUUAUCUGUUAGACCAAAG